rnacentral:rRNA from 1 species
GACGAACGCUGGCGGCGUGCCUAAUACAUGCAAGUAGAACGCACAGUAUAUACCGUAGCUUGCUACACCAUAGACUGUGAGUUGCGAACGGGUGAGUAACGCGUAGGUAACCUGCCUGGUAGCGGGGGAUAACUAUUGGAAACGAUAGCUAAUACCGCAUAAUAUUGAUUAUUGCAUGAUAAUUGAUUGAAAGAUGCAACUGCAUCACUACCAGAUGAACCUGCGUUGUAUUAGCUAGUAGGUGAGGUAACGGCUCACCUAGGCGACGAUACAUAGCCGACCUGAGAGGGUGAUCGGCCACACUGGGACUGAGACACGGCCCAGACUCCUACGGGAGGCAGCAGUAGGGAAUCUUCGGCAAUGGACGAAAGUCUGACCGAGCAACGCCGCGUGAGUGAAGAAGGUUUUCGGAUCGUAAAGCUCUGUUGUAAGAGAAGAACGGGUGUGAGAGUGGAAAGUUCACACUGUGACGUAUCUACCA